rnacentral:rRNA from 1 species
UGGGGAAUAUUGGACAAUGGGCGCAAGCCUGAUCCAGCAAUGCCGCGUGAGUGAUGAAGGCCUUCGGGUUGUAAAGCUCUUUCGCCUGCGAGGAUGAUGACGGUAGCAGGAGAAGAAGCCCCGGCUAACUUCGUGCCAGCAGCCGCGGUAAUACGAAGGGGGCGAGCGUUGUUCGGAUUUACUGGGCGUAAAGGGCGCGUAGGCGGCGAUGUAAGUCAGGCGUGAAAGCCCCGGGCUCAACCUGGGAACUGCGCUUGGGACUACAUUGCUGGAGUUCGGGAGAGGAGCGUGGAAUUCCCAGUGUAGAGGUGAAAUUCGUAGAUAUUGGGAAGAACACCGGUGGCGAAGGCGGCGCUCUGGACCGAUACUGACGCUGAGGCGCGAAAGCGUGGGGAGCAAACAGGAUUAGAUACCCUGGUAGUCCACGCUGUAAACGAUGUGUGCUAGACGUUGGGGAGCCUAGCUCUUCGGUGUCGCCGCUAACGCUGUAAGCACACCGCCUGGGGAGUACGGCCGCAAGGUUA